rnacentral:rRNA from 1 species
GAUGAACGCUGGCGGCGUGCCUAAUACAUGCAAGUCGAGCGAACAGACGAGGAGCUUGCUCCUCUGACGUUAGCGGCGGACGGGUGAGUAACACGUGGAUAACCUACCUAUAAGACUGGGAUAACUUCGGGAAACCGGAGCUAAUACCGGAUAAUAUAUUGAACCGCAUGGUUCAAUAGUGGAAGACGGUUUUGCUGUCACUUAUAGAUGUAUCCGCGCCGCAUUAGCUAGUUGGUAAGGUAACGGCUUACCAAGGCAACGAUGCGUAGCCGACCUGAGAGGGUGAGCGGCCACACUGGAACUGAGACACGGUCCAGACUCCUACGGGAGGCAGCAGUAGGGAAUCUUCCGCAAUGGGCGAAAGCCUGACGGAGCAACGCCGCGUGAGUGAUGAAGGUCUUCGGAUCGUAAAACUCUGUUAUUAGGGAAGAACAAAUGUGUAAGUAACUAUGCACGUCUUGACGGUACCUAAUCAGAAAGCCACGGCUAACUACGUG